AUACAACCUGGCAGGGGAGAUCCCAUCAUCAUCAUCAAGAUAGUUUUUCCAGGGUGAGGCCUGUCUCUUGCACUUUGGACAGGCUGCGCUCUUCAAAUUUCCCCAAAUGCAGGAAAGUGCACUGCACAAUUUUGUGGUAGUGAGGAGCUGCUGUCUUGCUCCCCCCUG
rfam:Alligator mississippiensis ScZkoYb_218.1, whole genome shotgun sequence.